GUGCUUUCUUAGCUUUUUUUCCCAGCUUUGCAAUGAAGACAAUGCUUGGUUUCUUUACGGACACUGGAGUUUCUAAGGAGAAUACCCAUAAUGUAAGUAAACAACAACAACAAAAUAAUAAUGGCACAUGUCAUGUGAUAUGAAGGAAAAAGAAACAAGAGCAGAGAAUGAAAAAUAGCAAUGUUUAAUCUAGAAAGGUCUCCCUAAGAAGAUGACACUUGGGCUGAGACCUUAAUGAGAAAGAGGGGAAGGGAAGGGGAACCGGGUCAUGGGAGGGGCCCGUAUUCCUGGCUGAAGCAACAGCAUUUACAAAGGCUCUGAGGUGUAAGGAUUGAGGAACAAAAAGACCCAUUUGGCUGAGUGAAGAGAGCCUGGGUGAGAGCAACAUGAGGCAGGGAGGAGAGCUGGGUAAAAGCCACAUCAGACACAGCCAUGUAACGCAUGGUGCAAAGUUAGAAUUGUAUUCCAUGUGCUGGAGGAAAACCACUGGAAGAUUAUUUUGCAGAGGAAUAGUAUGCUCAAUUUACAUUUGAAGGCUACUUGAAUGAUUUUAUUUAAAAAUGACAAGAAGGGUAAAAGGAAAGCAGCAACACCGACCUGGGAGUUUGGAGUAAUCCAGGCAUCCAGAAGUGCUCCUUUGUCAUUACCCAGUUCCGGACCACAUCUUCUGUCCCUCAACCUCCUCGGCAGUCUCCUUGCCUCCUGUGUUUCACCCACUGUGAGCCAUUCUGCAUACAAGGGCCAAUUUAAUCUGUGUAAGGAUGGAGAUUUCCCCAUGCUUAAUUUGCUUCUGGAUACAGCCAGUCAUUAGCCUCCCAGAGGGCAUCUCAAGGAUGUGACUACAACCUAGCUUGCCAACAUAUUGUCUAAUUAAUUACUUUCUUAGUUCUGGCAACUGAACGUCUCACCAUCCUUUGCCUUUGGCUACCUUCAUGAUUGGGAUGAGUUGUUACUAGUAUCUUCAUCUCUGCUCUAAGAGUUGAAGCAUUCUUUAGGACCCAGGAAAAAGCUGCCUUCUCCAUGAAGAUUUUCCUCACCAUCAAAACCAGAGGAGCCUCUGUACUCCAUCUGGAGGACAAGCCCUAUCAGACUUUCUUCUUUUCAACCCAGCUUGCUGAAGACCUCACAGUAUCAUCAACAAUUCCAGCUGAGGCUUCUGAACAAUGCUUUCUUUUGUGGCAGUUGUCAACUCCAUUUAGUGUAACCAACUAGAAAAAAAAAAUCCCUAUAAAAUUUAUGAUCAUAUAUUUCGGUGACCUAUUUCAGAAGGACGUAUAGGAGCCCUGACAUCUCCCUGGUGAAACAACUGACAAUUAAUGGGAUACUAAUGAAUGGACAUUGCUUUACUAGUUUUACCCAAUAUUUUGUUAGGGUUUAUUAGAAAGAAAAUCUAAAUAAUUUAUAAGUGUUUACUGUGCCUAUAUCAGGGAUCUCCAUCCCUUUUAUCUUUUCCUUUUCUUGUAGCACCAUUCAUCAGUCUCUUUACUGUAGCUAUUACUAACAUUAAUGCAAAUAUUUCUGACAAGUGUAAUUAUAUUCCUGUUAUAUGUUAAAAUUAAAGUUU